ACUCAAAUGAAUUGACGGGGACCCGCACAAGCGGUGGAGCGUGUUGUUUAAUUCGAUGUUAAGCGAAGAACCUUACCAGGGUUUGACAUCUUGGGAAUUACUGUGAAAGCAGUGAGUGCCUUCGGGAACCCAAUGACAGGUGGUGCAUGGCCGUCUUCAGCUCGUGUCGUGAGAUGUUUGGUUAAGUCCAUCAACGAGCGCAACCCUUAUGGUUAGUUGAAUUUUUCUAGCCAGACUGCCCCGGUAACGGGGAGGAAGGAGGGGAUGAUGUCAGGUCAGUAUUCUCCUUACACCCUGGGCGACAAACGCGCUACAAUGGCCGGUACAACGGGCAGCCAAGUCGUAAGACGGAGCAAAUCCCAACAAAGCCGGUCCCAGUUCGGAUUGCAGGCUGAAACUCGCCUGCAUGAAGCCGGAAUCGCUAGUAAUCGCAGAUCAGAAUGCUGCGGUGAAUACGUUCCCGGGUCUUGUACACACCGCCCGU
rnacentral:rRNA from 1 species